UACGAGGGGACUAGCGUUGUUCGGAAUUACUGGGCGUAAAGCGCACGUAGGCGGAUUUGUAAGUCAGGGGUGAAAUCCCGGGGCUCAACCUCGGAACUGCCUUUGAUACUGCAAAUCUCGAGUCCGGAAGAGGUGAGUGGAAUUCCUAGUGUAGAGGUGAAAUUCGUAGAUAUUAGGAAGAACAUCAGUGGCGAAGGCGGCUCACUGGUCCGGUACUGACGCUGAGGUGCGAAAGCGUGGGGAGCGAACAGG
rnacentral:rRNA from 1 species